UCCGCAAAUGAUGUUUUUGUUGAUUUAUUGAAAAAACAACUUAAUUUGAAAGAAGCACUUCUUGGAAAGGGAGAAUUUUUUCAUAUUAGAUGUUGUACUCAUAUCCUCAACUUGAUUGUCCAAGAUAGUUUAAAAGAAGUCCAUGGUUGUAUUGAUAAAAUUCGAGAAAGCGUCAAAUAUAUAAAAGGCUCUCAAAUUAGAAAACAAAAAUUUUGGGAAUGUGUCUCUCAUGAAUCUUUGGAAGUGAAGAAGAGUUUAAGGCAAGAUGUUCCAACAAGAUGGAAUGCUACUUUUCUAAUGCUUGAGAGUGCUUUAUACUAUCGCCGUGCAUUUAUACACAUGCAAUUGAGUGAUUCCAACUACUCAAGACUUUGUCCAUCUCAAGAAGAAUGGGAUAAGGCCGAGAAGGUUAAGAGGUUGUUAGCCACUUUCUAGCCACUUUCUAUAACGUCACUUGUCUUUUCUCCGGUACAAAUUAUCCAACGGCUAAUCUCUACUUUCUUCAAGUAUUUGUUGUGCAACGUACUUUAAAGAGUGGGAUGAAAGAUGAUGAUGAAUAUGUUAAGUUAAUAGCAACCAAAAUGUACAAGAAAUUUGAAAAAUAUUGGAGUGAGUACAAUGUUCUACUUGCUAUUGCGUGCAUCUUGGAUCCCCGAUACAAAAUGCAAUUUGUAGAGUUUUGUUAUCAUGGGUUAUAUGAACACAAUUCUACGGAGCUUAAGAAUGUGAAAGACAAGCUUUUCUCUCUCUUUAUUGAGUACUCGAGCAAUAUGGAUGGUAAGAGAAGAAGAAACUUGGAGAAAUGAACUUCUCGUGUGUAUGAUGACACAUUUGAUCAAGAUUGCAUUGAUAUCUUGAGGGAAUUCGACUCAUUUGAAAGUCAAGAAAUUAUUAGUUCUCAAAAGACCCAAUUAGAGCUUUAUUUGGAUGAACCAAGACUUGACCGUGGUGCUCAACUCGAUAUUCUUUCAUUUUGGAAGACUAAUGAGCAUAUAUACCCCGAGCUCUCUUUAUUAGCAAGGGACAUAAUGGCGGUUCCUAUUUCUACAGUUGCUUCUUAGAGUACUUUCAGUGUAGGUGGGAGAAUCCUUAACCAAUACCGUAGCACUCUUAAGCCUAACAAUGUUGAGGCUUUAGUUUGCACGCGUGAUUGGUUAUAUGGUAUCAAAGAUGACAUGCAACCAAAAUUAGACGAGCUUUCUGAGGAUAUCAUGCAAUUAGAUAUUGGAGAAUCUAUGCCAACACAAGUUUGAAUCUCUCAUACUAUGAUGCGGUAGCUGAAGCUUCGUUUUGUUAGGCAUCUUCAAGUUACUAGUCCAACCAAGAAGCUGUUGUAAGACCUCCACAUCUAUGCUCCUCUUAUUUCUUGAUAUUACAACUGUCAUUUUGGUUAAUGAUCUCACCAGUUAUACUUUCUAUAAAACCCUGAAUUUUUUGUAAUUUUGUUGUGAAGGCGAUUAACUGUCAUUUUGUUUUCUUGUUGUUUCAUCCAUACUGAAACAUAAUAGAGUAUUUCUAAUAAAAAUAAUAAGAGUAUUUCUAAUAAAAAGGCUACUACUAGCUUUUUUUUUCGGUUUGUAGAUAAUAUUAUUUUGCCAAUUGCAUGGCUUGCAUAACAUAAAUAGUUGAAAAUGCAGUAGCUAUCCAUGUAUCUUGUGGAUUGGAUUACUUUUGUUGAUCUAGAGAAACGAACAUGAUGUACUUGUUUGGUUUCUGUUCCUCAUUCAGUCUAAAUUGCAUCAUCACAUUUCUUGGACCUCUAUACUCCUGAGUCACACUAAUA